UUGAAACAUAGCUCAGUUGGUAGAGCAUUAGACUCUGAAUCUUAGGGUUGUGGGUUCAAGCCCCACGUUGGGCAAA